AGGUAGUACCCAAUCCACGCCACAAACAACCCCAUUGAGAAAUGAAAAAGAGAAGCUCGCGUUAGAGGCUCGCCCCUUCGACUCCACACGAAUCUCCACGAACCGUGUAUCAUCAGGUGGGCCAUAUGUGUUCUAGAAAAAUGGACGGUCUAAACAGUCUUGCUUCGACGGCGCCGUUGUAGGAGAGGGCUGGUAUCGCGAUGGCAAGUACAAGUAGAUGCAUGGAAGUUCAUUGGGACAUUUUGACAAACACCUAGAAAACACGAGAAUUUACGUUCUUAGGCGAUUUGGGAUUUGUUUGGUUCUUGUCGUUUGAUGUCUAAAAUUGCAGAUUUUGUUCUUGCACUAAAAUUCCAUUCGGGCAUUUCAACGAACAUCUGGCGUCCACCUAGUGGUUUUGGUUCUUAAUUCAUUUGGGUGUUUCUCGUCGUCAUCGGAUUUCUAUAAAUAUUAGGUUCAGACUGAAAGACCUGGGUUCUUUUGAAUUUAUUUGUUAAAUCUAAGAUUACAGAUUUCAUGUUCUUAUCUGCUUCGAAUGAUGUGUUGUUUGCCAUUUGGUGGUUGGAACUAAGAUAGCGGAAUUUUGGGUUGUUAUCUGCUUUUAGUAACUUGGGUUAUUCUGUAUUUGGUGGUUGAAUUCCCUUUUCUCUGAGGAAUUCUAAAACCCAGUUAGUGAAAAACGCUGAUUGAUGGCAAUGUGGCAUACAGUUUUCUCAAAAACUAUCAGUUGAAAAACAGCAGAAAUUCUAAGUAAUGUCAAUCUGCAUGAUCAGACGGCUCUCAAUGAUGAUCACCCAGUUGGUUAGGAACAAACUCAACAGAAUUAGUAUCGAUUUUGCUGAAUUUUCAUAUGUAAGACUAUCUCUGUCACCCGUAGACAAUCAGAUGGCUUCCGGAUGGAUUUUCUCAGACUUGCAAAAGCGAUUGAUGACUACAAGCAAGCGGGUCCAAGACAGAAGCAAGAAGAAGCGGGUCCAUGAUCUCGAAAUAGUGACUGAGAAGUGGAAGAUAGCAUCGAAGGUGUUGUUUGUGAUAGAGCUUCUAAAGAACGAACCCGAGCAGAUCAUGCGUCUGAGAGAAUUGGAACGGUACCGGCAGCAGAUCAACCUGCAGAAGCCGCACAAGGUCUCGGAUUUCAUCCGCAAGUCCCCAAAGCUGUUCGAAUUGUACAAGGACCAGAAGGGCGUGAUAUGGUGUGGGCUGACACAGCAGGGUGAGGACCUUGUGGCGGAGGAGGAGCGACUCAAGGAAGAGCACAGCCCACAACUAGCCCAGUAUGUCACGAGGUUCUUGAUGAUGUCGGUCGAUAAACGGCUCCAAGUAGACAAGAUUGCCCACUUCAGGCGUGACUUGGGUCUGCCUUAUGAUUUCCGGAAUCAGUGGAUUCAUAUGUUUCCGGAACUCUUCAAGGCAGUCAAAAUCGACGAUGUUGAGUACUUGGAACUUGUGUCGUGGAACCCGGCUUGGGCAGUGACAGAGUUGGAGAAGAAGUUAGCAGCGGGACCGGAAUCUGAUCGCCCCCCACCAGGGCUGCUUUGCCUCCCUUUCCCAUUGAAGUUCCCAGCAAACUACAAGAAGAUCUUUAGAUACGGCGGACAGAUUGAGCAUUUCCAAAAACGGUCAUAUCUAUCACCGUAUGCUAAUCCACGUGAUCUGAGCCCAGGAUCACGGGAGUUUGAUAAGAGGGCAGUUGCAGUCAUGCACGAGCUGCUGAGCUUUACGCUUGAGAAAAGGCUGGUGACGGACCAUUUGACCCACUUCCGGCAGGAAUUCAAGAUGCCCCAAAAGCUGAUGCGGCUUCUUUUGAAGCAUUUUGGCAUCUUUUACGUUUCGGAGAGGGGAAAGAGGCUGAGCGUCUACUUGACGGAAGCAUAUGAAGGUUCGGAAUUGAUUGAGAAAUGCCCAUUGGUGCUUUGGAAGGAGAAGAUUCAGAACCUUGUUGGGUAUAGAGGGCGGAAAAAGAGGCUCGAAAUGUUUAAUGAAUUUUCAGACAUGGAUGAUGAGAAGCUGUUUGAAGACGAGCCUAACGGCGAAAAUGCAUUUGGGGAGUUAGACAAUGCAGCAAAUGUGGGUCCACUAGAUGGUGCUUUACUUACAGAUGAUGAGGAGAUGGCAGUUGCAGAAGAAGUAUACAAUGCGUACAAGGAUUCAUCUUGAGGGAUGACUCUUUUGAGGAGCCACAAUUUUUUUUGGAGACUCAAGGCAUUGAAUGGAGUUGCGACCACGGUUUGCUCUUCACUGACUACACCUAUACAGUUGGUGGGAGAAGAUCAGAGAGUGAUUAGGUGUGGCAUUAUUACUAGGGAGGAGAUCCAUGCCGUUUCGGGCAUUGAAGGGUGUGAAGAGAUGAACACUAAGGAUGUCCCAUUUUAUGAUGAGCCUGAGGCUGGUGAUGGAAAGAGGAGGCUAAACAUGACAAUGGGGAAGACCUUUGAGAUUGGAAAGCUUAGGUGGAUUGAUAUAUGGUUCCAAAAAGGUAGGGCUAAUUUGGAAUCCAGGCAACUGGAAAAUGUCUAUGGUAUGUUUUCUAAUUUAUUUAGUUUCAAUUUUGAUGAAUGAAUGUCUUGAUUUAACUUUUGAAAGGGUGGAAUUCAAGAAAUGACAGUUUCCUACUUCUCUAGAGAGAAAAGCUGUAGUUUGAUUUUAA